rnacentral:rRNA from 1 species
GAAGAGCCGCAGUGAAUAGGCCCAAGCGACUGUUUAUCAAAAACACAGGUCUCUGCUAAACCGUAAGGUGACGUAUAGGGGCUGACGCCUGCCCGGUGCUGGAAGGUUAAGAGGAGUGGUUAGCGCAAGCGAAGCUACGAAUCGAAGCCCCAGUAAACGGCGGCCGUAACUAUAACGGUCCUAAGGUAGCGAAAUUCCUUGUCGGGUAAGUUCCGACCCGCACGAAAGGCGUAACGAUUUGGGCACUGUCUCAACGAGAGACUCGGUGAAAUCAUAGUACCGGUGAAGAUGCCGGUUACCCGCGACAGGACGGAAAGACCCCGUGGAGCUUUACUGUAGCCUGAUAUUGAAAUUCGGUACAGUUUGUACAGGAUAGGUAGGAGCCUUAGAAGCGUGAGCGCUAGCUUACGUGGAGGCAUUGGUGGGAUACUACCCUAAUUGUAUUGGAUUUCUAACCCGCAGCACUUAUCGUGCUGGGAGACAGUGUCAGGCGGGCAGUUUGACUGGGGCGGUCGCCUCCUAAAGAGUAACGGAGGCGCUCAAAGGUUCCCUCAGAAUGGUUGGAAAUCAUUCAUAGAGUGUAAAGGCAUAAGGGAGCUUGACUGCGAGACCUACAAGUCGAGCAGGGUCGAAAGACGGACUUAGUGAUCCGGUGGUUCCGCAUGGAAGGGCCAUCGCUCAACGGAUAAAAGCUACCCCGGGGAUAACAGGCUUAUCUCCCCCAAGAGUUCACAUCGACGGGGAGGUUUGGCACCUCGAUGUCGGCUCAUCGCAUCCUGGGGCUGUAGUCGGUCCCAAGGGUUGGGCUGUUCGCCCAUUAAAGCGGUACGCGAGCUGGGUUCAGAACGUCGUGAGACAGUUCGGUCCCUAUCCGUCGUGGGCGUAGGAAAUUUGAGAGGAGCUGUCCUUAGUACGAGAGGACCGGGAUGGACAUACCUCUGGUGUACCAGUUGUCGUGCCAACGGCAUAGCUGGGUAGCUAUGUAUGGACGGGAUAAGUGCUGAAAGCAUCUAAGCAUGAAGCCCCCCUCGAGAUGAGAUUUCCCAACUUCGGUUAUAAGAUCCCUCAAAGAUGAUGAGGUGAAUAGGUUCGAGGUGGAAGCGUAGCGAUACGUGGAGCUGACGAAUACUAAUCGAUCGAAGACUUAAUCAAAA